GUGAAUGAAGCUCAGUGAAAGAGCGCUUGCCUAGAAUGUGAGAGACCCUGGGUUUGAUCCCCACCACACACA
rnacentral:tRNA from 1 species